rnacentral:rRNA from 1 species
GAAUCUGCCUUCAGGACGGGGAUAACAGGAGGAAACUGCUGCUAAAACCGGAUAUGCCGAGAGGUGAAAGUAUUAAUAGCCUGAAGAGGAGCUCGCGUCUGAUUAGCUAGUUGGUAGGGUAAAAGCGUACCAAGGCGACAAUCAGUAGCUGGUCUGAGAGGACGAUCAGCCACACUGGGACUGAGACACGGCCCAGACUCCUACGGGAGGCAGCAGUGGGGAAUUUUCCGCAAUGGGCGAAAGCCUGACGGAGCAAGACCGCGUGGGGGAAGAAGGCUCUUGGGUUGUAAACCCCUUUUCUCUGGGAAGAAAGUUGUGAAAGCAACCUGACGGUACCAGAGGAAUCAGCAUCGGCUAACUCCGUGCCGGCAGCCGCGGUAAGACGGAGGAUGCAAGCGUUAUCCGGAAUGAUUGGGCGUAAAGCGUCCGCAGGUGGCAGUUCAAGUCUGCUGUCAAAGACCGGGGCUUAACUUCGGAAAGGCAGUGGAAACUGAACAGCUAGAGUAUGGUAGGGGCAGAGGGAAUUCCUGGUGUAGCGGUGAAAUGCGUAGAGAUCAGGAAGAACAUCGGUGGCGAAGGCGCUCUGCUGGACCAUAACUGACACUCAGGGACGAAAGCUAGGGGAGCG